rnacentral:rRNA from 1 species
AUUGAACGCUGGCGGCAGGCCUAACACAUGCAAGUCGAACGAGUGGCGGACGGGUGAGUAAUGUCUGGGAAACUGCCCGAUGGAGGGGGAUAACUACUGGAAACGGUAGCUAAUACCGCAUACCAUCGGAUGUGCCCAGAUGGGAUUAGCUAGUAGGUGGGGUAAAGGCUCACCUAGGCGACGAUCCCUAGCUGGUCUGAGAGGAUGACCAGCCACACUGUAACUGCGACACGUUCCAGACGCCUACGGGGGGCGGCAGUGGGGAAUAUUGCACAAUGGGUGCAAGCCUGAUGCAGCCCUGCCGCGUGUAUGAAGAAGGCCUUCGGGUUGUAAAGUACUUUCAGCGGGGAGGCGUUACCCGCAGAAGAAGCACCGGCUAACUCCGUGCCAGCAGCCGCGGUAAUUC